GGGGCUGAUUUAGCUUUCGACAAGAGGAAUUUAACAAACUAUCUUGCAAGUCGUUUACUCGUAAAGUAUAAACAAACGCAAAAGAAAAUUUUGUAGCAAAAGUAAAAAGUGUAUUCACACCAGCUUUUGCGCCCAUCGCAGCUUAAUUAGCUUGUAGCGAUCAUCAACCUAAGUUAGGCAACGUAUGCUUAGUUGGUGUUAUAUAUUCACGUUGCUAGUAUAAGUUUUUUUGGCAGGGCUUAUAUGAAUUUUUUGCCAAGACCGUGUGUCGUUUUCUGUCUUUCUUUUAUCGUCACACGGUAUCUAAGAAAGAAUAAGCUUGUAGAAGGAUAGUGGGUUACCUUUUGGACCCGGGGGCAGUUCCCGGCAGCUCCACCA
rnacentral:tmRNA from 1 species